rnacentral:lncRNA from 1 species
AAGCUCGAUUUGAAUCAAACUAUUGGAAGUGCCCGCUAACGCUCGUUUAUCUGGGCUAGCAGCCCUAGGUGUCCCCGAAGCUUUGAGUGGAAUUUUGGAUUCUGACAGAGAUGCAUGUGAAGAAAAUAAGAAUACUCACCUUACCUAGAGCCAAAUCGAGAACACAAAGUCUGCAAUCAAAGCUCAUAAUUGGUAAAUGCCACAAAGCAGAAAUGGAGAUUUAACCUGCUAUAGUUGCAAAAAUCUUUUGAAUUACUGCUUCAUCCGUGGGAAUGACUUCGCUAUCAAGGAUUGGAAAAGCUUUUUGUGCAAACCUCGCAUUACCUUAUAAUAGAAUAGUUGUACUUCGAAUCCCAAGUCCUACAUCUAGUUUUCUUCCAUCAAAAGAAUGAGGAACGUUUGAAGCAAGUGAAAUUGAGUCCCUUUUCUCUUUUUGGUUAUGCUGCCUGCCGCCUGAAUCUUGAACGGAACUUGAACAACUAGAGUUCCAAUCCUGUUGGGUGGCUUUGAUGCGAAUGGAAUCCCCUCAACUAGAACGAAAAGGCAUUACUUUGUCUUUUGAAUGGGUCCUGUCCUGAGCUAAUCAACUGAUUGAGAGUGUUAGCUCGGAUGUUGCGAAGGCUUUUAGGCCGGGUUCCAGCAGGUUAUGAAAGACUCUUCUCAAAGGCGGAAGACGAAUCAAAUAAAGAAAGGGUUCAGUGAUCACUUAUGAAAUUUCUCAUGGGCAAUUUUGACUACAGCUACUGGCGAGCAAUAUCCUAUUAUUUGUUUGAUUAUCCCUUGACCCGAAAGAAAGAAAUGAAAUUCACAUAUGAGACGGAUGAAAUAGCUACUAGCUACGGAUCCUACCGCCGAGCUGUCAACAGCUAACAAGGGUCACUACGGACAGCUAACAACUGCUUUGCUACUACUGGCUCACUCUGAACGAGAUUCCGAUCCCCUUUCUCGUGAGCAAAGCCUUCGAUUCCUUGGGUCGAGCCUACUUAAUUUCCUGGGGACCGCGAGAGAAGGUCUUAGUCUGAAUCUGGAUCUCUAUCUCUAGUGGUAAGAGAUGCCGGGGCAAGCCGCAGGUUCUGAUGCUGGGCAUGGGUAUCGAUCACGAUCUGGAGAUGGAACUGCUGCUCUAGGUACCCUUGCUUCUACUCCAACGGGAUCAAUGACUGGACUUGGAUCUACUAGUGAAGCUACUCGGUCUCGAUCUGGUCUUCACCUGGAACAACUUUCACAUCUACUGGGACAGGACCAAGCAUCCUCAACUACUUAGCAACUGAUGAUCAAACAACCAUUUUGUAUAGAGCUUCUCACGUAGUGCUCUUUACUUCUUAGAAGUAGCUUCCUCUGCGGGUCGCCUCGUAGGCUGCCUACCCCACCAACCUACCGAGACCUUCCCUUUUGGUUUUGGACCCCAUGACCUCAACAACGAGAAUCGCCUCAUGGAACAGGCCUCGCGUCCCUCCACAGGAUGCAUUCUUUUCCCUUCAGGGGUCUGCUAACUAAUGGAACCUUUUACUUUCCGCUCACUAUAAGGCAAGCAAAUGAAUCGUCUCGGGGAUGACUACUUUGCUCUUCCUAUCCUAGCCCUAUGAGACCUUACAUGCUGGUUUCUAGUCUUCUCCACCGGAGGUAACAGUUUGCAGUCAAAACUGUAACGGUUGUUGGUGUCUGCUCAUAGCUUCUUGUUCCUCAAUCUAAUUGAUCGCAUAUAUAACUCCGAUCACCUAUCAGUACCAGGCUUGGAUCGGACCGUACAACCAAGCGGUNUUCUUGACCAGGUGGUAGUUAAAGGAAGAUCGCUUCUGAACAGGUGGUCUGUGAUAAUAAGGGAAUUGCUCCUUGCGCUCGCCGUGGCUACUAAAUCUGCAGCUGCGUCCGCUACUAAGGGCUCUGGGUUUCCAACAGAAAAGAAAUAGGAUCUGUAUAUGGAACGUCUACAGAGACUGGAAAGGGAUGCCGUGUGCUAUGGAACAGGAUCCGCGCCUGUCCAGGUCAAGAUCCAAAGCCAUCACCUAUAGGGGGCCCAUUCCUUUUCCAUAUCCAGUUGGAGUUGGAGUUCGAGCAGCAGGAGGAACGGCGUAGUCUCCAAGCAAGGCCCCUAAGUCACGAAAAAAUAAGAAGGCUGAACCGAAAGGACCAAAGAAAGCCUGAUAUGUGCCAAGGGCUUACAGAAAAGAAGGCGCAAGAGCCCUCGAACAAGCCUUUUGGACUAAUCAAGAAGGCCUUUAAAAAGGCUUUCUGGGGAUUUGCUUGUCAUCUUUGUUUUAGCUUCGCUAGCUUUUCUUUUCAACUCGUGAGCACUUAGCCUUUCCAAUAGCGUAAGCUGAUCCAGCUGAUGCGAGAGUUCCAGCUCAAUUACCUAUUUCUUUUGUACCUUAAUUCAAUUCAAAUAUCAGAUAGUGAUUACGCCAAUUCUUUCAUUAAAGAAAGAUUAGUCAAGAGCUGAGCGAGAGGAAGGACGGGCCCUUCUAGGACUUUGUACUAUCCCACUAAAGGUUCAUUAACCAUUUAGUCAAAGAUGCACAUCCUUAAGAGUCAUUGCUUAAGAAGGGACAGGGGACCAGGAGCAGGAGGUCUUCAAGGGUCUCUGGUCGAUUCUUGACCAGAGACUGGUAGAGCUUGGACUCUACGGGUAGCCCUUUCUUGUAGGCUACCACUGCUGACUGCUCGUUGCAGUUGUCAACCUGAAGGACUGAAGCUCAGAAUCGCUUAGUGGAAUCCCGAAUGGAUUCUGUGACGCUCUUCUUCAGGUUGAAGAGGUAUUCAAGAUCCUUGAUCUGCCUCCGGUUACAAGAGUACUGAGCUAGGAAGAGUAUGCUCAGCUCCUUGAAGUAAGAGAUAGAUUUCGCUGGUAUCUUAUGGAACCAGACUAAUGCCUGCCCGUGCGGGCUGGCUGGGAAGACACGGCACAUCAGAUAGUCUUCUGAUGUGUUCAGUGCCAUGAUAUUCCUGUAGUGGAGAAGAUGGUCAGUUGGACCCGCCGUCCCGUUGUAGACGUUAAUUUUCGGAAUCACGAAUUUCGGGGGCGGAGCCUGGGCCACGAUCUCGUCAGUGAAAGGGGACUCCUCGAUCUCCUGGAGUGCCAACUCGUGAGUCGAUCAGAGGUUUUCUUGUGAGCCGCCAUGAACUUGGCGAACUCUUCCUCCUUUCGCUUCAUCCACUGAUCAAUGUCCUCUGCGGAUGGACUGAGCAUCAGACGCUUGGGGGAGGUCCUGUCCUGAGGCGUCCCAGUACCUUUGGACGGUACUCCAGCACUCUUAGAUGGUGCUGUCUUCAAAGCCCGAGCAAUCCAAUCCGGCGGUUCCUCCUCUUGAUCGCCCCCAGCCAGAGUCUACUGGUUCUGAUCUUCUGGUAUUUCCAAGGGUCCUUUCUCAGGCAGAUUUUUAGCCCCAACGACUUCGGAACGGGCAUAUUCGGGGACUACCCGAGCUAAUGAUAGAGGCAAGAACACUUUCCGGCCAGGCCUUACUAUAACCAACCUCACAGAUCCCACUCAAUCUUUUACACCGAUGUAUCGUACUCUCUCGACCAGGUCAUCAUAAGAAAAUACUGCUAAAUCUUUCCAAAGUGAGAGAAGGAGGGAAGGCGCGCUACAACUAACAUAACAGCCGGCUGAAAAACGUUAGCUAGCUAGGCUAGCGCGCAAUGGCUUUCUCUGAUAGGGGCUCGCUUCUUCAAGCGGAGCCCAACCUAUACAAGGUGCUGCUCGCUUUCUCUCAGCCACUAGUGGCUUAUGUAGUGGUCGGCAUUCAUACGUGCUCCUCCUUGCCCCCUACUUAAGAAUCCAAAGGUCACCUUUGGAUGUUGUCGUGACGCUUUGGUUACGAAGGUUACCGGGGUCUAGGUUUAUGGAUGGAUAUGGAUUCAGUCAGCGAAAGUCCCUCAAACUCAAUCAAUAUCAACAAGAUGUCGUGACCGCUUGGUUGAUUUUGUCAGAAAAGAAAGUGGGUUUCGGGGGUUCAUUGAUUAGUACACCUCCGGUGCUGGUAAGGUCGGGACCGUGGUCGUCCGUCUCCGGUUUGCCGGCCAAUAAGAUCUCUGAGAUUGACCAGCCAGCUGGGUUGGUUUGGCUAUUCCUUUCUAUUGAAAAGGAGUCAGCUGUCUACGCGAGUCACCUUCUUCUAGGCUCCGCUGGACGACACGGCAUUCUCGUUCCAAUAUAGGCCGGGCGUACUUGUGAUGGUUCCCAAGGAUCCAAUAUGACCACUUAGGUCUACGUUUGCCGCGAUAUUGUUCUAUGGAAGCGGGCGGGCUGUUAGAAGUUCGGCCCGGUUUUUUUGGUGUCGUAGGGGAGGGAUUGACCUUUCUAACGCAUAUUCAGUCGUACCGGCAUGGCCCACGGAUUUUUUUUCGAUUGGAGCAUCAAGCAACGCAACCCGGUUCUACUUGACUAAGCCCCGUGCUCGUCCAAGGAGGGAGUUUGCUUUACCCAACUCCCUUUUUGAUAACAAGACAGAAAGCCCCGACCCGACUUUCGAAUGAAGAGUGCCCAACCAACUAAGGGCAAGCACCUACUCCUAACAAAAUGAAAAGCAGCGAGCUCCGCAACAAAAAAAAGCGAAGCGAGCCGCGCUAGUAGCGCGCAUCCGUUUUUCAGCCUAAAAUCGAAUAUUUUUAAGUUGGUAAAGACCCACCCCUUGUUUCAGUCAGAAUGAGUCCCCGGGACCCCGGGACAUUGGCUUCCGCCAACAGUGGACUAUUAAGGAUCGCAUCCCGCGCAUAUUCUACAUUAUAGCCUGCAACUGAUUCAGCUUCCGCUUCUGGGAGAUCAAACGGAGCUCGAUUAGUUUCUGCUAGACAAGAAAUAAAGAACAUAACCAAUACAGGGAACAAGGGAAUACCAAACCAUAUCUGCUUUUGCGCCAUGACAAUCUCACUCAAAUUACAAGAACCUACACAUAUUAGUACAGUAUACCGGGGUCCCCGGCCAGAACCACACGUGCAAGUUUCCCUGCAUGUGGCUCGUCCGUGCUUUCCGAGGCGCUGCCUGUGACUCAGCAUGAGAGAAGGGGGCGGAACUGCAUACUUUCGUGUUCAGAGCAUUGUCCGAGUGAGUAGGCAGCGCCUACCAAGCAAAGCUUUCUUGAAGAGGGUUCCUUUUUGGCGCCCGCCUUUUAUUUAGAUGUUGGGGCAAGGCAAGCCCCAGGAAAGUAUAGGUUGGCUCCCAGCUCCAUCUCGGCCGGCAUCCUGCUCUCGAGGGAGUGGAGUCCUGGAGCGAACUACUCAUUGCUGUGUAGCCCCAACCCAAGGAAGGGCAUUUGGUGAGGAGUAUUGUUUUGAGGGAGGGAAAGCGUGGUUGACAAGCCACUUCGAGGAGGCGACUGGACUGGAGUGCUUUUAUCAAAUGAUGCAUGUGGGCUGAGCCAUUCCCAUCCCAAGUGGUUGCCCGAUUCGGCCUGGCCUGGUCGGGAAGAGAUUCACAUAGAGACUACUGCUAUCCGGGAAUUUCUUUCUAUGUUAGCUAGCGGGGGCGGGCUUUCCUAUGGUAGUCCCGCUGCGGCCUCUGACCGUCCGUCUCGUCUCAUCUUGAUUUGGCUAUACUUGUAUGUAGCCAGCCAUGUUAGCUUCACAUGAGAGCCUUUUUCUAAAGGCUAAAAAGUAAAAAGGCACUCAUCAGUCAGCUCGGCCCCUCCUCAGCUUUGCCGCCUAUUAAGAUUAAGAGAAUAGGUCCCGUUCAAGCGGCCCGCCUUUAUUCAUCUAUACUAAAAGCUGCCACGCACGACCCAAUAGGAACGAUUUCAGCGCCCCUCUCUAGAUAAGAAGCAAAACGUGCCAUCACCUACAGCCCUUUCCUCUGCCGGGGACUUCCAUAAAAUGAAAACGGGCAGCAUUGUUGUAUGUUCGGCAUUUGUUGCCUUGGUUUAUAUCCCGGAGUACUCCUAUGGCCGAUCUGUCACCCAACCUACUUAAGGCUUGGCCCCGUCCCGUUUGGAGAAUGACCCUUAUGGCAUGGCUUAGUCAGUUAUUCUCGCAGUUCAGAUAAGAUUCGGACCGCCACUUCUUCUCUGAAAGCAUGGUUCUUGCCUCCCUCUCUCCUCCCUCCUUGGAGCUCGUCCAUUUGUUGGGUGAUCCCUUGCUCUCACGUUCGAGUGUUUGCUCGUCGUUUAGGCCGGUGAGUGAGAUUUCUGCUCAUUGCAGUCACCUCCGGGGUUCUUCGCACCUGGAUAGUACCAGGACCCUUGUGCCCCGGCCCUUGAUCAGAAAAAACUUUCUGCCCGAAGUCCGCCCUAUGACCCACAACUAAAAAUGAGCCUUGCGACAAGACGCGGACAUUCCCCAUGCUGCGGUUCCCUCCAGUCCGUUCCGUUCCCGGGUUGGGUUAGGGGAACAUUCGAGCGAUUGCCUUCGCGGAUCCAAACGCGCUCACAAGGCGCACAAUAAGAAUAAGACCAAUAGAGACUUCAUAAGAGACCAUUUGAGCUGCAGAUCGUAAUGCUCCUAGAAAGGCAUAUUUCGAAUAUAGAAGAGUGAAAGUUCCCAACAAUCAACGAGUUGAUCAUACCCUUCUAUGAACCGUACGAGCACGUCCUCUGUCACCCCCCACCGCGCUUACGGCUCUAUACCCCAACCCCAACCCAACUUGCUCUGUGCUCUGGUCCCCGGUCUUAUCUUUGCCUUUUCCUUUCCCUUUCGUCUACUAAGAAAAGGCGAACAGCAUCGACGAUGGCCUUUUCCACCUUUAUUUUGAGCGGCGAGUCUUUUUCCGACCAUAAUGCGUUAUUAAGUAUGGAAAGACAUCGGCGCACAUUGCUAAGGUUGGAUGGAUUUUUCGGUUGGGGACCAUAUGUUAUUACCGUAGAGACUUCUUCGUCCAAGUUCUCUAUCGGACCGACAAGCGGAGUACCCCCUUGGGCUUCCAUCUCUUUCCUGAUUUUCCAAUCGACCCAUGCUCGGAUGGACGCCCGUGUUUCAUCCAUUUCGAGUUGGUGUCUCUGAAGCAAUUGAGCUUCGACGUCGAGUUGGAGAGGGGUCUUGUUCAGAUCUAUAGCCCCCCGAAUCUCCUUUUCCUCCGUUAUGGCCGGAGUACUGUUGAGAUCAAAUCCCCUCUUCCUCUUAUGUGCAGAAGAUGAACCCGAGAUCUCCCCAGAAGAUGAACCCGAGGUCUCCCCAUCUUCGGUGUCGCAAAAUGCAAUGAGUGGUAUACCGAAUACAUAUAGAAAGAGAGAGAAUAUAACUACUGGAAUUAUAAAGUUUCCCAUUAUUUCUAAGAAGAAAACUUUCAUCUUUCGUGUAGUUUGUUCUGUUCCUCUGUGCAUCUCUGUGAUGGGUAAAUCCCCAUGAAAAAGGGGCAACUUUCGUGUAGUUUGUGAUUGGAUGUAACUGUUAAGAUUUUCUCUCGGAUAAAUCUUUCUCUUAAUAGAUCUCAUUUUCUUCCUCAAUCUUCGGAGAAUGCGGCGUUGUAUUAUUGUAAGUUCUCUCUUCCGAACAUUUCCUGAAAGUAGACGACAAGUUUUAAAUCUUAAUGCAGACAUGGCAUAUCUCGUUGAAUCAGUCUUUUUCACCACAAAGGGGCAAUGGGAAUCGAACCCAAUUCUAUUCUUAUUCUUCCGUGAACCCCUCCACGAAUAACAAAAAAACAUUUAUCUUAUCUACAAGAAUUUCUGCUUUGCUGCUUUUUCUACUUGGCUGUACGACAACUGAACACCAAGUCAAUCUCGAUGAAAGAAAAGGAGAAGCCAAUCCAUUUCUUUGAUCACUUGUUAUAGGUAAAGGUACUAGAGGGAAAUGCUCAAGUCAAGCUCAGUUGAAAGGUCCGAGUGAAUAUUGACUCAUCUUAAAUAACCUAUUCUCGUAUUUCAAAUAACUAGUCUUUGAGAAGAGAAGGAAAGCGAAGCUAACGACAUGAAGAAAUAGAGUGAAAGGGAAGGCAUAUUUUAUAUGAAAGUAGGGGUGUUCUAUUUCUAGGAAGCUUCAGCUCGCUCUUCUCAUGCGCAAGUCUCAGUAGGGCUUCUCUUCUAUUGAAUAAGUUAUAUAGUCUGAUAUUCUAUUUCCCAUCGCUGAAUGCUGACUUAUUAACUAGAUUCCGAGCUUCCUGCUACUCUCAUUGUCAAGCAAAGACAUGCGGAUAAGCUUCAAGCGAAGAACAGAGCGUCAGCCCUGCCUUAAGAGUAAGAAAGCGGGUAAGAUUCCACUACCCCUGAUGAUGAAGAUGUUGAUGAGGAGACCUGCCCAAAAAUCCUUUUGACAGGGGAUGAUAAGAGAAGACUGAGGUGGCCAUGGCACAAAACACUGAUUGUGAAACUGCUGGGUAAAACCAUAGGGUUCAAUUAUUUGAGUUUGCGAUUAAGGCAGAUGUGGUCUCCAAAAGAAGAGUUGAAGCUUAUUGAUUUAGGGAAACUACUUAGCCAAGUUUGCUAACCUAGAGGAUUAUGAUUAUGUUCUGAGUGAAGGACCAUGGAUGAUUGCAAACCACUACCUCACUAUCCGCAAAUGGUGUCCUUCUUUCCAACCAGAGGAGGAUGCCAUUAAGAAUCUGGCUGUAUGGGCUACGCUAAACCUCUCUAUUGAAUAUUUUGAUCAACCUUUCCUGGAAAGGCUUGGAAGCAAAAUAGGACGGAUUGUCAAAGUUGACAAGACUACUUCUUGGCGGAAAGAGGGAAGUAUGCUAGGUUGUGCAUUGAAGUGGAUCUAAGGAAGCCAUUACUUUUGAAAUAUAGGCUAAGAAGGCGCAUACGGAGGAUUGAGUAUGAAGGGAUAGACCUCAUCUGCUUUAGGUGUGGGUGUUAUGGACAUAGAGAGGAGACAUGCGAGGUGGGCAGACCAGCUACAGUAGCUCAUGAUCCGGGUCAAGAAGAUGAAAGGAUCCGACCCGUGACCCGAAAUAAGGAGCCUACACCCGAAGCAAUGUCCACGUAUGGACCCUGGAUGCUGGUUCAGCGGAACAGAUACGGGGCUAGGUCUUUAUUCCCUCCUCAACCUCCUAAUCCAAUUUAAGGUUUCCCUAUUCUCCUUUCGACUUUUCAGACCGCUGCAAUACCUCCAGGAGGGGGUAUUCGGUGAAGACCCUGAUCCGAUGUGCCUGAAAAUGCGGCUUCACACUCGGCGGUCCACUCGAAAUCAUUCUUUUUACGGAGCAGCUCGAAUAAAGGUCGGCAUCGCUCGGAGGAUCUAGAGAUGAACCUAUUGAGUGCCGCAAUCCGCCCCGCUAGUUUCUGAACCUGCUUCACACUGCUGGGUGAAGGCAUCUCUGAUAGAGCUCGGAUCUGCUCAGGAUUGGCCUCAAUUCCUCUCUGGAUUACCAGAGACCCCAGGAAUGGAAUUUCCGAUAGCCCUCAUGCACAUGUUAGUAAAAGGGUUCAAGCGCAUCUUAGACUCUCUGAGCCGAGCAAAGGUCGCCCCCAAAUAAUCCAAAUGCUGCUCUCGCUUGCGGCUUUUUACUAACAUGUCGUCGAUAUAUACCUUCCAUUGUCGUGCCGAUCAUGUCGUGAAACAUCUUGUUCACCAGCCCCCUAUCUAGUAAGUAUGUGGCACCCGCAUUCUUGAGCCCGAAGGGCAUUACUCUAUAACAGAAUAGCCCUUGCUCAGUGAUAAACGUGGUCCCACCCAAUACACCCUGUUGAGGACGUACAGUGUCUUGCACCUUCUGGCCGAAGUUCUGGCCUCCGGGAUUGUUGUUUGCAGUUGUCCCCCCCCUGAGACCUAUUUUGCUGAUAAUGGGUUGUCAUUGGGAUCAAUUUGUGUUGUUGGACUUGCGACCACCACCUCAACUUCGUCGACCCUCAAUCCUCUUUUCUUGCUCCGUUAUUGGAAUGGAAAUGUAAUGGGAGGGAAGCGUUGAGUUAGCUUCACGUAAGCGUAGGUGCUAUACGGGCCCACUGUGGCAAGGUGAUCAAUUAUUCCCACCUGGGGGCGCGCACCAGAUAGAUGCCCCCCUAAGACUAGGUAGCCAGACUUUCUCCCCAGCUUGGAUCGGGGAUAGAUUGUUGAUUUUUGCGUUGCCUCCACCGAGGUGUCAUGGGGUUUAGGAAUUCUUACAUUCUAUCUUUCCGAAGAGUCACUUUACAGC